rnacentral:lncRNA from 1 species
AAAAUAAUACAAGCAUUCUAUUAGGCAUUGUAUCAAACAUUUCACAUGCGUUUUAUCAAAAUUCUAGCAGCAGCAGCAGCCCAAAUCCAAGAUCCUAUUCUAUCAAACACGGUAACAUUUUGUUGAGCUUGAUAAUCCAAAAUGACUUCAUGUAUCAUCAAUUCGUUUGUUGACACAACAUAACUUUAUUACAAUAGAAGUUUACACUCAAGAUGGAGGACAUACAAUUAGCAAGCUAAAAAGAUUGAUUCGUUCUCUUUACUUUUCCUUCCUAAAGAGAGCAAACGUCGCCAUAAUCCUAGAACCGACAAAGAAUAUGACUAGAAACA